rnacentral:ncRNA from 2 species
CGUCCACUCACGGGGUGCCCCAUCCAGGGGCUGAGAGGCAAGAGCCAACCCGACGAACCUGAUCCGGCUCGUACCGGCGGAGGGAUGGGAGAUGGCCGCCGG